rnacentral:rRNA from 1 species
CACCUCCAGCAUAACAACUAUUGGAGGCACUGCCUGCCCAGUGACAUCUGUUAAACGGCCGCGGUAUUCUGACCGUGCAAAGGUAGCAUAAUCAUUUGUUCUCUAAAUAAGGACUUGUAUGAACGGCCACACGAGGGUUUUACUGUCUCUUACUUCCAAUCAGUGAAAUUGACCUUCCCGUGAAGAGGCGGGAAUAUAUAAAUAAGACGAGAAGACCCUAUGGAGCUUUAAUUAAUUAGCCCAAUAAAUUAAACGACUCACACUUCCAAGGGAAAUAAAAAACUUUUUAAUGGGUUAACAAUUUAGGUUGGGGUGACCUCGGAAUACAAAACAACUUCCGAGAGACAUAACCUUAGACUAACAAGUCAACGGACACAGUCAUUCAUUGAUCCAAAAAAUUGAUCAACGGAACAAGUUACCCUAGGGAUAACAGCGCAAUCCUAUUUGAGAGUCCAUAUCGAUAAUAGGGUUUACGACCUCGAUGUUGGAUCAGGACAUCCCAAUGGUGCAGCCGCUAUUAAUGGUUCGUUUGUUCAACGAUUAAAGUCCU